UAAGUGAAGAGUUUGAUCCUGGCUCAGAGUGAACGCUGGCGGUAGGCCUAACACAUGCAAGUCGAACGGCAGCACAGGAGAGCUUGCUCUCUGGGUGGCGAGUGGCGGACGGGUGAGGAAUACAUCGGAAUCUACUCUGUCGUGGGGGAUAACGUAGGGAAACUUACGCUAAUACCGCAUACGACCUACGGGUGAAAGCAGGGGACCUUCGGGCCUUGCG
rnacentral:rRNA from 1 species